UAGUAACGGCGAGUGAAGCGGCAACAGCUCAAAUUUGAAAUCUGGCGCAAGCCCGAGUUGUAAUUUGUAGAGGAUGCUUCUGGGUAGCGACCGAUCUAAGUUCCUUGGAACAGGACGUCAUAGAGGGUGAGAAUCCCGUAUGUGACCGGCCCGCACCCUUUACGUAGCUCCUUCGACGAGUCGAGUUGUUUGGGAAUGCAGCUCUAAAUGGGAGGUAAAUUUCUUCUAAAGCUAAAUACCGGCCAGAGACCGAUAGCGCACAAGUAGAGUGAUCGAAAGAUGAAAAGUACUUUGGAAAGAGAGUUAAAAAGCACGUGAAAUUGUUGAAAGGGAAGCGCCUGCAACCAGACUUCGUGGCAGUGUUCCGCCGGUCUUCUGACCGGUUCAUUCUCUGUCGCGAGGCCAUCAUCGUCUGGGCCCGCCGGAUAAGACCUGAGGAAUGUGGCUCCCCCUCGGGGGAGUGUUAUAGCCUCUGGUGAUGCGGCGAGGCUCGGGCGAGGUCCGCGCUUCGGCAAGGAUGAUGGCGUAAUGGUUGUCGGCGGCCCGUCUUGAAACACGGACCAAGGAGUCUAACAUCUAUGCGAGUGUUCGGGUGUCAAACCCCUACGCGUAAUGAAAGUGAACGGAGGUGGGAACCGCAAGGUGCACCAUCGACCGAUCCUGAUGUCCUCGGAUGGAUUUGAGUAAGAGCAUAGCUGUUGGGACCCGAAAGAUGGUGAACUAUGCCUGAAUAGGGUGAAGCCAAAGGAAACUCUGGUGGAGGCUCGCAGCGGUUCUGACGUGCAAAUCGAUCGUCAAAUUUGGGUAUA
rnacentral:rRNA from 1 species